rnacentral:tRNA from 2 species
GGCUGGGUAGCUCAGCUGGUUAGAGCGCACGACUCAUAAUCGUGAGGUCGAGAGUUCGAGUCUCUCUCCCGCCACCA